CUGAAGACAAAAGAGUCACUAUGCCAUACCAAUAGUCCAGCCCCCGUCUCCACAGAUUCAUUAGACUGUGACCAGCAUGUCACCCACUGUAUCAGGAACUGCUCUGCACAGCCAGGAGGUGCAUACGCAGGUGAACUCCAUGGAUGCAGAGACGGAGGACUCAUGCAGGGGCAGCAGCACUCGGAGGGCCACCCCAAGCAAGCCAUAUGCUCCAGAUGCAUAGUAUUUCCAGCUUCCUGGGUCUCCACUGCACCAUCAACUUUAUUCUUACAACUUCAAGCAUCACCUUCUCUGGGGUUCCUGUCAGGGACUGUGACCCUGUUAUAUUUCUUUUACUUGGCUCCCAGGCCUUCUUCAGAAAUUGGUACAAUCUACCAUGACCCUUGUUAUGGUUUGAAAACUGGUGAUCAACUUAACGCCAGCUGGAUUACAUCAGCAUGCAUUGAGAGACGAUGCUCCACCUGAGGAGGGUUGCCAGGAUAAAGAGGUGGAGAAGAAGAGAGGUGUGGAGAGGGAUUGAGGUGUUAAGGAGACAUUGUGGGUUCUCCUACGAGUUGCUGUCUCAGCUGUUGGUUCUGGAGAAGCUUUGGUCUUGACAUCAAGCAUUGCUUCCUGGCUCCGGAGGGGAAGACAUGUGCUGCCUGGUCUCCAGGAUGAACUCGUCACGCUGCUUCCUGGCACGUACCCGACUGUGCUUGUUGGAGGAGCUCGGGGGCCUCCGUGUCGCUGAGGACAGCUGUGGUGCCUUUCAGGACAGCCCCGCUCUUUGUUGUGAGUGUGACUUCUCGGCUCCAGUGCAGAACCCUCAACCCACUAGCACAGCUCCUUCAUCCUGCUGGCAUAGACUUUCUGGCUUCCCCUGCUGACCCUUGGGUCUUCCCGGCACGGAUCCGUAAAAGAGACUGGCGUGAGUCCUUCUUGUGGGCUCUGGACUUCCAGUUGGACUCAUGGAGGCAUUGUCCUGAGCUCUGGGUUUUUAUCUGGACUCAUGUGGGACAUUGCCUUGGGGUUUAGACUCUUGACUAAAUAAUCUAUGUCUUUGGUGUUGCGGAUAGAUUUCCUGCAUUCUCCUGUGUUAACUCCCGGUGACCAUUAUAAAAAUAUUAUAAACUCCA